rnacentral:tRNA from 1 species
GAGAGAUGGUCGAGUGGUUUAAGGCAGCGGUCUUGAAAACCGCCGUGGAGCAAUCCACCGAGGGUUCGAAUCCCUCUCUCUCC